GUCUUCCUUCCUCAGGUGCAGCUAGCAUGUUAAAUACUGUAUUAACCCCUGUCUUCCUUCCUCAGGUGCAGCUAGCAUGUUAAAUACUGUAUUAACCCUGUCUUCCUUCCUCAGGUGCAGCUAGCAUGUUAAAUACUGUAUUAACCCUGUCUUCCUUCCUCAGGUGCAGCUAGCAUGUUAAAUACUGUAUUAGCCCUGUCUUCCUUCCUCAGGUGCAGCUAGCAUGUUAAAUACUGUAUUAACCCCUGUUUUCCUUCCUCAGGUGCAGCUAGCAUGUUAAAUACUGCACUACCCCCUGUCUUCCUUCCUCAGGUGCAGCUAGCAUGUUAAAUGCUGUAUUAACCCUGUCUUCCUUCCUCAGGUGCAGCUAGCAUGUUAAAUACUGUAUUAACCCUGUCUUCCUUCCUCAGGUACAGCUAGCAUGUUAAAUACUGUAUUAACCCUGUCUUCCUUCCUCAGGUGCAGCUAGCAUGUUAAAUACUGUAUUAACCCUGUCUUCCUUCCUCAGGUACAGCUAGCAUGUUAAAUACUGUAUUAACCCCUGUCUUCCUUCCUCAGGUACAGCUAGCAUGUUAAAUACUGUAUUAACCCUGUCUUCCUUCCUCAGGUACAGCUAGCAUGUUAAAUACUGUAUUAACCCUGUCUUCCUUCCUCAGGUGCAGCUAGCAUGUUAAAUACUGUAUUAACCCUGUCUUCCUUCCUCAGGUACAGCUAGCAUGUUAAAUACUGUAUUAACCCUGUCUUCCUUCCUCAGGUGCAGCUAGCAUGUUAAAUACUGUAUUAACC